rnacentral:misc_RNA from 1 species
AACGCACAUUGCGCCUUUUGGUAUUCCGAGAGGCAUGUCUGUCUGAGCGUCAUGAACACACCUCAGGUUCGGGUCUUGUUACCCGGUCCUGGUCCUGGGUUGAGGGGUUCCACCCCGAAGCCUUAAAGAUGAAGCUUGCGAGCCGUCGUCUCAACACAAAGCGUAGUAAAGCUCUUGCCUCGCCUAGUUUUGACGGCCUGCUCCGCCUUGAGCAACCAAUGACACUUUUGACCUCAGAUCAGACAAGGAUACCCGCUGAACUUAA